CCUCAGUACAAAUCAAGUAUCUAAAGGUACUGGAAACGAAAAGUUAUGCUCGUCAAGUAGCCAUGCCACUCAUAAAUAAGUUUUGCAACUAAUACCAUGAAGAUAUUUUUAGUCUUUAAUGUUUAGAAGAUGUACCUCAUAACAUUGAAGGAUAAAAUUCUUUAUCAUUUAUUCUUUACCAAAUCAUGACAUGCCAUCUCAGUAGAGCACAUGUUAACAAGGAGAAGAAGAAGGACAAAUAUCAAGUCAAUGUAAUCGACGCAGUGGAGGAAAACAAAGUAUUCGACCAUGGACCUACGACACGGAAUCAAUUUUUAUCCAUCUACUUAAUCAUCGGAACAUCCUGAAGAGUAAUAAUCCGGAAUAGUAAAGAGAGCGCCGUAAAGCCCCAAUCGGUUAAUUAUAAAGUACAUCAAAACACACCGGCAAGAAUAUAUUUUUAUAUGUGCAAAGGUCAUAAUGGACUGCACAUACGAACAUGAUCGAGCAAAAAACUACAAGGAUAAAAUAGUAAAACGUGGUUAAUCGUACAAAGUCCCCAUAAAUAACCCUAUCAAGCGUUACAGUAAGUGUUGGCAGGUGCCAAUACCUUUAAGAAUGUUGCAAACAUACAUGAACAACUGAAGUUAAAGUGUGAAAGUCAUAAAUUCAUAGCGUGCAGCCCACAUUUGUUUAAAUUGCUACCAACUGAAAUCUAAAUAUGAUAGAUGAAAUAUGGCGUCCACGAAGGUAGUAAUCAUACGGCUGCUUUCAAAAACUUUUUAUAGGACCGUGCGUGAACAGGUUCUUAUUGUAUGUAUUUGUAUUGCAUUUUCAUAUUCACUUUAAUCUUAAUGAUUACGCUUUCUCAAUCGUUGUAAAUAAAGAUGUUAUCUCGCCGAGGUUUCAAGUGGUAAUGUUUA